rnacentral:rRNA from 1 species
CGGGACGGGUGAGUAAUGUCUGGGAAAACUGCCUGAUGGAGGGGGAUAACUACUGGAAACGGUAGCUAAUACCGCAUAACGUCGCAAGACCAAAGAGGGGGACCUUCGGGCCUCUUGCCAUCGGAUGUGCCCAGAUGGGAUUAGCUAGUAGGUGGGGUAACGGCUCACCUAGGCGACGAUCCCUAGCUGGUCUGAGAGGAUGACCAGCCACACUGGAACUGAGACACGGUCCAG